UUCGCAAUGCCCGAAAGGGUGACGAGGCGACGCCGCGUGGGUGAGGAAGGCCCUCGGGUUGUAAAGCCCUGUCAGGAGUUAAGAAAUGUAAGUGCGCUAAUAUCGCAUUUAUUUGACGAAGGCUCCAAAGGAAGCCACGGCUAACUCUGUGCCAGCAGCCGCGGUAAUACAGAGGUGGCAAGCGUUGUUCGGAAUUAUUGGGCGUAAAGAGCACGUAGGUGGGUUUGUAAGUCAGAUGUGAAAGCCUUCUGCUCAACGGAAGAAUUGCAUCUGAAACUGCGGGUCUUGAGUGUAGGAGGGGAGAAUGGAACUUCUGGUGGAGCGGUGAAAUGCGUAGAUAUCAGAAGGAACGCCGGCGGCGAAAGCGAUUCUCUGGCCUAUUACUGACACUCAGUGUGCGAAAGCUAGGGGAGCAAACGGGAUUAGAUACCCCGGUAGUCCUAGCCGUAAACGAUGGGCACUAAGUAGAGGGGUUUU
rnacentral:rRNA from 1 species